rnacentral:rRNA from 1 species
AGUGAAACUGCGAAUGGCUCAUUAUAUAAGUUAUCGUUUAUUUGAUAUUGCCUAUCCUACAUGGAUAACAGUGGUAAUUCUAGAGCUAAUACAUGCUGAAAAUCCCAACUUCGGAAGGGACGUAUUUAUUAGAAUCAGAACCAAUGCCCUUCGGGGUUCUUUGGUGAAUCAUGAUAACUCCACAGAUCGCAUGGCCUUGCGCCGGCGAUGGCUCAUUCAAAUUUCUUCCCUAUCAACUUUCGACGGUACGGUCUUGGCCUACCGUGGUUGUAACGGGUGACGGAGGGUUAGGGCUCGACCCCGGAGAAGGAGCCGGAGGAACGGCUACUACAUCCAAGGAAGGCAGCAGGCGCGCAAAUUAUCCAAUCCCGACACGGGGAGAUAGUGACAAUAAAUACCGAUACAGGGCUCUUUUGGGCCCUGUAAUUGGAAUGAGUACAAUUUAAACCUCUUAACGAGGAACAAUUGGAGGGCAAGUCUGGUGCCAGCAGCCGCGGUAAUUCCAGCUCCAAUAGCGUAUAUUAAAGUUGUUGUGGUUAAAAAGCUCGUAGUCGAACCUCGAGCCUGGCCGGCCGGUCCGCCUCACCGCGUGCACUGGUCUGGCCGGGCUCUUCCCUCUGCGGAACCGCAUGUCCUUCACUGGGCGUGUCGGGGAGGCAGGACUUUUACUUUGAAAAAAUUAGAGUGCUCAAGGCAGGCCAAUGCUCGAAUACAUUAGCAUGGAAUAAUAGAAUAGGACGUUGGUUCUAUUUUGUUGGUUUCUAGGACCGCCGUAAUGAUCAAUAGGGACGGUCGGGGGCAUCAGUAUUCAGCCGUCAGAGGUGAAAUUCUUGGACCGGCUGAAGACUAACUACUGCGAAAGCAUUUGCCAAGGACGUUUUCGCUGAUCAGGAACGAAAGUUAGGGGAUCGAAGACGAUCAGAUACCGUCGUAGUCUUAACCAUAAACUAUGCCGACUAGGGAUCGGGCGGCGUUCUUUCUAGACCCGCUCGGCACCUUUCGAGAAAUCAAAGUGCU